CAUGGAACAGAUGAUUGUUGCAGCAACCUUCUUUAGUGGAUUUAAAAAUCGACAAACGAGGCCAAUGAUGCUAGAUUGGUUAUUCAGGAAGCUCACACGAGAUGGAGGUACUAUGCUCAGAAGGUUCAUAAUUUCCUCCCUUAAUCGACCUUUCUUCCGGAACAAAUGUUAUUAUUAGUGCCUAAUGAAGUUUUCUGGAUGAGGAAAUAUCACCUGCUGCUAUACCUCAAUCUACAAAAAUCCUUGUUAAUGGUAGUUGGGUAGGGAUCCACGGCAAUCCCCCCGAGCUCUUGGUGAGGACCCUGAGACGACAUGUGUUGAUGUAAACACUCAAGUUGGAGUGAUAAGAGACAUUCGUUUAAAAAAAGAAAGCAUUGAGAGUUAUUGCAGAGCACUUGUCUACUAAAGAAGUAGAAGUGAUUAAAGAUAUGUUUACAUUGAUGGUGAUGGGAAAGUUACAUUUGAUGAAGUAUUAAAGAAAGUCGGUUCACAAUUGUCUUAACCUGAGAUCUGACUGCUCAUGGAUGUGGUGAUGCUAAAAGAUUGUGAAUGCUAAAAUUCUACCAUUUGUUCAUUCAUUAGGCUGAUGUUGAUGGCAAUGGCGUACAGUGUACCCGAGUGUGGAGAGUUUGUACUUUGUGGCAGUGACAAUUCAUUUGCAGAUGAGCAUCUACACAAAGCGUUUAUGUUUUUUUUUUUUAUGAAGAUGGAAGCGGUUAUAUUGAGCUUGAUGAGCUAGAACAAGUGCUGUAUGAACCUGGUCAUGCAGACAUGCGAGUACUCAAUGAAAGCAUGAAACAAAGAAGUUGAUACAGUCGACAAGGAUGGUCAAAUCAGUUUCAAGGAAUUUUCAUCUUCGGGAACAAAUUGGAGGAAGGCAUCACGACAAUAUUCGAAAGAUCGAUCAGGGAGGAAAAUGACUAUUUUUAAACUAUUGGAGCAAAACCGUCAAAAUGACCAAACCACGGGGAGCAAAACGAAUGUUAACUCUUUUAAAGACUUUGUGAUCGAGUUUUCCGUGUUUGUUUUUAUGCACAAGUGGGUAUAAAUUCAAGUUGAUUUACGUUUCAACGUAAAAAUUUCCACGAAAAUUA